CAAACUGUCUUAAGAAGGUUUAUUGGUUACGUCAAUAAGUUAAUCGUGCAAUUCGAUUGUGUUUGA
rnacentral:tRNA from 1 species